GGCCUAUGGCUGGCCGGCUGGCAGUGAUGCAGGAGACGCUGUGAGGGAAGGUUGUACGUGUUGCUGCAGCUCAGCUGUUGGUUUUGUUAGGCGCCGCUCACACCACGCCACGGUGGCUGCCACUACCACAGUCACCUCCCACAGCCUGCAGUGGAGCCUGUAGCGCGAGGCGCCGCGUGGCGCGGGCAGGUGAUGCCGCCAGGUGACGCGUGCUUGCUUGCUGCGUGCUGUCGCCAACCCUUCCACACCGGGGUGACCGUGGCCGCCACGGUGGAGGCCAAUGGUGAUGGCGGCGUCGUGUGGAAGAAGGGACCUUGGCGGCUGGUAACGUUCCGGCGAGCUAACCACUUGUUAGCAAUUGUUACGUAACGGUAUUUGAAGUUAAUGUCAUCCCUCUCCAUCUGUUCCCGGCUUGGCUGCUUACGCGCUCUUCCUGCUGCUCCUCCCACCGUUUCUACAAGGGACCGCUUGUGUGAAGAAUGGAUGCGAGGCGCCAGCGGAGGAACUAAAUAAUGGAUGAGUAAGGACUUCAGUCUUGCCCCUUAUUGAUAGUCUUGAGAAGAGAGGCCCCAGCUGUUGCCGCGAAAACGAGGAAGCUGUGAGCGUCAGCAAAGAACUAAACAACAGCCAUAGAUGAAUUGGGAGACUCUGCGUGGUGUCGUUAGUCGUGCCUCCUUAAUGUGCAGGAGAGACGCUCCAGCCGCUGCCACGAGAUGGACCUAAAGUUUUCAUAAGAGUUAGCGUCAGCCAGCAAGUGGACAAACCUAUACGAAAAGAAACAAGUAGAGUAGAAAGAGAACAUAUCAAAUAAAUGUGACAUAACCUACCUCGA